GGGGUUGUGGCUCAGUGGUAGAGUGUUUGUCCAGCAUGCAUGAAGCACUGAGUUCAACCCUCAGCACCACA
rnacentral:tRNA from 1 species